rnacentral:rRNA from 1 species
CAGCAGCCGCGGUAAAACGAAGGGUGCAAGCGUUACUCGGAAUUACUGGGCGUAAAGCGUGCGUAGGUGGUGGUUUAAGUCCGUUGUGAAAGCCCCGGGCUCAACCUGGGAAUUGCAGUGGAUACUGGGUCACUAGAGUGUGGUAGAGGAUAGUGGAAUUUCCGGUGUAGCAGUGAAAUGCGUAGAGAUCGGAAGGAACAUCUGUGGCGAAGGCGACUAUCUGGGCCAACACUGACACUGAGGCACGAAAGCGUGGGGAGCAAACAGGAUUAGAUACCCCGGUAGUCCCUGUCUCUUAUAC